CAUUCUUAAACCAAAUAUUUAUUUACAUGUCUCACUUUUUCCCACUUUAUACUUUGUAAAAGCAGAGUACACAAAUUCUUGGAGCUCUGACCCAUCUCAAAUUCCUGAAGGAAUCUCCUUGAGUUAGAUGGAUUCAUCGCUAGACGUUCCUAAUCACAUAACUGCUUCCGAAGAUGAGUUUUGGCCACUUUCUGAUAAGCCAUGGUUUAAUGUGAUACUAAAAAGCACACACAUGAGGCCUACAUAUACCCUAUAUGUUCCAACAGAAGAGUUCGGUGUAUCUCCAUCUUCCAGUGUUGAUGUGGUUUUCACAUAUCUUGGCAAAGAAUGGAAGACGGUUGUUCGGAGAGAAGGCUGUUCCUCGAGGACCUCAAUUAAAUGGAGGGAAUUUGUGACUGACAACCAUCUAAAGGAAGGAGAUGCAUGUGUAUUUGAGUUAACUGAGCGCAGCGAUAAACUCAUAAAGGUCAGAGUUCAAAUUCUCAGAGGUGACUUCCCAUAUGAGUUGCUGAAUAGUGUUGAUGGCGGAACUCGUGAUCAACCUAUUAUCCUAUGAUAUGGUUUUUAACAACUCUUAUAACUAUUAACAGAUUUUGUCAGGUUUCAUUGUUUUGCAGUUGUGUUAUCUUUGUCUUUGUAUUUAUGUAGGAACUUAAUGAUGAUUUAAGAAUGCAGUAGCUUCUUCCAUGGUCAUCUUAUUAGUCAAGUUGCUCAAUUGCUGAAACAGAUAACCAUGUGUCAAUUUUUGAGCUCAAGCACAUUGUAUUUAUAGUUUUACUUCACUGCUAGUGCACAUAUGCCUUUUUUUAA